rnacentral:rRNA from 1 species
UUCCAGCUCCAAUAGCGUAUAUUAAAGUUGUUGCAGUUAAAAAGCUCGUAGUUGAAUUUCGGGGUUAGUAGGUUGGUCAUGCCUCUGGUAUGUACUGAUCUCACUGAUUCCUCCUUCCUUAUGAACCGUAAUGCCAUUAAUUUGGUGCUGCGGGGAAUUUGGACUGUUACUUUGAAAAAAUUAGAGUGUUUAAAGCAGGCUAACGCUUGAAUACAUUAGCAUGGAAUAAUGAAAUAGGACGUUCGAUCUUAUUUUGUUGGUUUCUAGGAUUGACGUAAUGAUUAAUAGGGAUAGUUGGGGGCAUUAGUAUUCAAUUGUCAGAGGUGAAAUUCUUGGAUUUAUUGAAGACUAACUACUGCGAAAGCAUUUGCCAAGGAUGUUUUCAUUAAUCAAGAACGAAAGUUAGGGGAUCGAAGACGAUCAGAUACCGUCGUAGUCUUAACCAUAAACUAUGCGACUAGGGAUCGG